rnacentral:lncRNA from 1 species
GUCCUAACGAAGACCAUGUCUUUGAUCUUCAUUAUACUCACAAAGAUUUACUAUUCCGUACUCCUAUGUCGACUCGCUGUACCGCCUCAAUGGCUGAAGGAAUUCUCAAUUAUAUUUAUUACUAUUUGUCAUUAAUUAACAGGGCACUGCUAAUCGUAAGCGACCGUCACGUGAUGCGCAAUUGUUUAGCGCGAAAUGAAACAAGUGACGGAACCUCGACGCUGUUGCUAGUCGGUGGUGUGAUCCGCUCCCAAAAAGUUCAAGAAAUUAGGACAGCGCCGGGCGAGGAUUGCAGUCUUCGUCCUCGAUCGCACUGACCGAGCUCUACCCUUAAAUUCAAUACGCGGAUCGCAUUCAAUGGUUACUCAGCGAACCUCGAAAAUUACGGAGCCCGAAGAAUAGAAAGAUUGGUGUCGAGAAGAGUCGAUCACUGCUACAAGAAAUCAAUUGCGGUUAUAUCAUCAGUCAUGGACUCAAUUACGUUCCUUCAUUGGACGAGCGUACAGAACGAACGUCGAAUCUGCCCCGACUACUUCUUCAUGAGGAAAAACAGUUGAACUAUGAGAAGCCUGGAGGCAAUGGGCACAAGAAAAGACAUGGCGUUGACAAAUUUGAAGACUGUUGGAAUUUGUUGGGUAUACUGCACCAUAGCUUGCAAGCAGUCAUCCAAGUAACUACUGAAAUACUUCGCAAA